UACGGGGGCAGCAGUGGGGAAUAUUGCACAAUGGGCGCAAGCCUGAUGCAGCCAUGCCGCGUGUAUGAAGAAGGCCUUUCGGGUUGUAAAGUACUUUCAGUCGUGAGGAAGGUGUUAAGGUUAAUAACCUUAGCAAUUGACGUUAGCGACAGAAGAAGCACCGGCUAACUCCGUGCCAGCAGCCGCGGUAAUACGGAGGGUGCGAGCGUUAAUCGGAAUUACUGGGCGUAAAGGGCACGCAGGCGGUUAAUUAAGUUGGAUGUGAAAUCCCCGGGCUUAACCUGGGAAUGGCAUUCAAGACUGGUUAGCUAGAGUCUUGUAGAGGGGGUAGAAUUCCAUGUGUAGCGGUGAAAUGCGUAGAGAUGUGGAGGAAUACCGGUGGCGAAGGCGGCCCCUGGACAAAGACUGACGCUCAUGUGCGAAAGCGUGGGGAGCAAACAGGGAUUAGAUACC
rnacentral:rRNA from 1 species